GAUCUAGCCAUGUCCGUCUGUCUCUCUUUGCGCAUAUGCGACUGUGGAAAGGAAUCGGACAGUUUUUCCGUCUCGUCUACCAUACUAAAAAAUUCAGAAAUGUUACUUGAGUGCCUCAAGUAGCUACGUUGAUCGAACACCAGUACUUCCCCGUCUAAGACCGGAAUGUUAUUGGCAUGCGAGAAGUCGGUGAUCCGAGCAUUUACCGCUGCUAGUGCCACAAGCAAAGUGAGUGCAAACCUGAAAUGGGCGAA